rnacentral:tRNA from 1 species
AAAGAUGUAGCGCAGCUUGGUAGCAUGCUUGUUUUGGGUAUAAAAUACCACAGGUUUAAAUCCUGUCAUCCCUG